CCAUGGAGGAUUUCAUCGUGAUCUCGGACGACAGCGGCUCUGAGAGCUCCGGGGCGCCCGCCCGGGCCGGUCGCGGAGGCUGCGCCGGGCCCUGUCGCGAACCCCGGCGCGCUGCCCCGCCGGACCGUGAACAAGGGUCAAAAAUUAGAACCCAUCCCUCAUCGAAGACUAAGAAUGGUAACAAAUACCAUUGAAGAGAAUUUUCCCCUGGGGACUGUGCAGUUUUUGAUGGACUUUGUGUCACCCCAGCAUUACCCACCAAGAGAAAUCGUGGCUCACAUCAUCCAGAAAAUCUUGCUCAGUGGCUCUGAGACUGUGGAUGUCCUAAAGGAGGCCUACAUGCUUCUCAUGAAAAUUCAGCAGCUACAUCCAGCCAAUGCCAAGACAGUGGAGUGGGACUGGAAACUGCUCACCUAUGUCAUGGAGGAAGAGGU
rnacentral:sRNA from 1 species